ensembl:lncRNA
AUUAGCCAAAGAUGGAGGGUUCGGUUGUCUUGGUUUUCCGAUACUGUUCAACACAGCUUUCCCCCCAUGCACCCGUCAACCUUGAGAAACUCCAUCUUUACGUUCAUCUUCCUGUCCACUAUGUAAUUCCUUCUGUCAAUUGAUCUGUGAGCCUGCAUCAACGGAUAAAUACAGAAGGAUAUUCACCAACCAGAUGUCUGCGUGUUCUCUGACCGGAACCCUGUAGUGGUCAAUGUCCUACAACAAAUCAGUAUCUCAGGGGGCGAAUCCCCAACAAAUGGUCCUUCGAGCCGGAUAUAUUGACUACUACAGAAGAUGGCAUCUGGGGAAAGACUUACCCAUCAGCCUCAUUACGAAGAGCAACAGUGAGACAUCAUCGCGUCCCUAAACAUCUUGAGGACUACGUCCUUGCCUACAAUCCACAGCGACCUGCCCUUUCCUCCCACACUACAGAAGAGCAGUGGGGAGCAGCGGCCGCAGCGGACGGUAGCCUAGCGGAUGCAGCCUCCUUUUCGGACAGACGCACAGUCUCACACAAUACCAACUCUGAUGACAUGCUGAACACCACUUCACUAAAACGACUCGUAGAAUCCAUCUCUAGGAAUGAGAAGGGAGAUGUUGAAGUGGUUAAGCUAACACAUAAACUCCAGCCGUAUGAACUCCGCCGUCGCCGUCGUCAGGAGCUGCUGGAGCACAUUGCUUCCUUCCUCAGGGAAGAAGAGAUAGAAGAGGAUAAUGACAGCAGGAAGAGCGCCUCACCACCAUCAACGCCCUCGUCUCCCGUGCCUCAACCUCAUCGACUCCUCAUCUCCCCCAGCUACUUGGUUUCACCGCCAGGGACAUUGAACCUCAGGCUGGUAGCACUAUAGCAGGACAUAUGUUUGGAAGACCAGAGGCAGAGACUGAGGUUAGAACCUACACCCCUAUAGCAGGUGA